rnacentral:rRNA from 1 species
UACAGAGGCCUCGAGCGUUUAGGCGGAAUCACUGGGCUUAAAGCGUGUGUAGGCGGGUCGUUAAGUGCUUUGUGAAAUCCCCGGGCUUAACCUGGGAACUGCGUUUGAAACUACGGAGCUAGAGUGCGGCAGAGGGGGGUGGAAUUCCGACGUGUAGCAGUGAAAUGCGUAGAUAUGAUGGAGGAACACCGAUGGCGAAGGCAGCCCCCCUGGGCCGACACUGACGCUCAGGCACGAAAGCGUGGGGAGCAAACAGG